rnacentral:rRNA from 1 species
UUGAACGCUAGCGGGAUGCUUUACUCCUGCAAGUCGAACGGCAGCGCGGACUUCGGUCUGGCGGCGAGUGGCGAACGGGUGAGUAAUGUAUCGGAACGUGCCCAGUAGCGGGGGAUAACUACGCGAAAGCGUAGCUAAUACCGCAUACGCCCUACGGGGGAAAGCAGGGGAUCGUAAGACCUUGCACUAUUGGAGCGGCCGAUAUCGGAUUAGCUAGUUGGUGAGGUAACGGCUCACCAAGGCGACGAUCCGUAGCUGGUUUGAGAGGACGACCAGCCACACUGGGACUGAGACACGGCCCAGACUCCUACGGGAGGCAGCAGUGGGGAAUUUUGGACAAUGGGGGCAACCCUGAUCCAGCCAUCCCGCGUGUGCGAUGAAGGCCUUCGGGUUGUAAAGCACUUUUGGCAGGAAAGAAACGUCGCGGGCUAAUACCCCGUGGAACUGACGGUACCUGCAGAAUAAGCACCGGCUAACUACGUG